rnacentral:tRNA from 1 species
CAGGGGGUAGUUUAUUUUAGAAUGUUAGUUUUGGGGACUGUUGAAGGGAUUAUUCCUCUCUCUGA